rnacentral:rRNA from 1 species
CCUACGGGAGGCAGCAGUGGGGAAUAUUGCUCAAUGGGCGUAACCCUGAACCAGCAAAGUCGCGUGGGGGAUGAAGGUUUUCGGAUUCGUAACUCUCUUUUAUAGAGAAGUUAAUUACGGUAUCUAACGAAUAAUCACCGUCGAACUCCGUUCCAGCAGCCGCAGUACUACGGCGGGUGCAAGCGUUACUCGGAGUCACUGGGCGUAAGGGGCGCGUAGGCGGGUUUGCAAGUCAGAGGUGAAAUCCUAUGGCUUAACCAUAGAACUGCAGUUGAAACCGGUAGUCUAGAGUAUGGGAGAGGUAGGUGGAAUGCGUGGUGUAGGGGUAAAAUCCUUAGAGAUCAAGAGGAAUACUGAUUGCGAAGGCGGCCUGCCAGGACAUGACUGACGCUGAUGCGCGAAAGCGUGGGGAGCAAACAGGAUUAGAUACCCCAGUAGUC